ensembl:lncRNA
AUGCCUGUUUCCUCUGAUUCAGACAGGACGGUGGUUCCCCACACCUCUUCUGCUGUCUCCUCUGAUUCAGACAGGCCGGUGCUCCCCCACACCUCUUCUGCUGCUGUCUCCUCUGAUUCAGACUGGCCGGUGGUCCCCCACACCUCUUCUGCUGUCUCCUCUGAUUCAGACUGGCCGUUGGUCCCCCACACCUCCUCUGCUGUCUCCUCUGAUUCAGACUGGUCGGUGGUCCCCCACACCUCCUCUGCUGUCUCCUCUGAUUCAGACUGGCCGGUGGUCCCUCAGACCUCCUCUGCUGUCUCCUCUGAUUCAGACUGGUCGGUGGUUCCCCACACCUCCUCUGCUGUCUCCUCUGAUUCAGACAGGCCGGUGCUCCCCCACACCUCUUCUGCUGCUGUCUCCUCUGAUUCAGACUGGCCGGUGGUCCCCCACACCUCUUCUGCUGUCUCCUCUGAUUCAGACUGGCUGUUGGUCCCCCACACCUCCUCUGCUGUCUCCUCUGAUUCAGACUGGCCGGUGGUCCCUCAGACCUCCUCUGCUGUCUCCUCUGAUUCAGACUGGUCGGUGGUCCCCCACACCUCCUCUGCUGUCUCCUCUGAUUCAGACAGGACGGUGGUUCCCCACACCUCCUCUGCUGUCUCCUCUGAUUCAGACAGGCCGGUGCUCCCCCACACCUCUUCUGCUGCUGUCUCCUCUGAUUCAGACUGCCCGGUGGUCCCCCACACUUCUUCUGCUGUCUCCUCUGAUUCAGACUGGCCGGUGGUCCCUCAGACCUCCUCUGCUGUCUCCUCUGAUUCAGACUGGCCGUUGGUCCCCCACACCUCCUCUGCUGUCUCCUCUGAUUCAGACUGGUCGGUGGUCCCCCACACCUCCUCUGCUGUCUCCUCUGAUUCAGACUGGCCGGUGGUCCCUCAGACCUCCUCUGCUGUCUCCUCUGAUUCAGACUGGUCGGUGGUUCCCCACACCUCCUCUGCUGUCUCCUCUGAUUCAGACAGGCCGGUGCUCCCCCACACCUCUUCUGCUGCUGUCUCCUCUGAUUCAGACUGGCCGGUGGUCCCCCACACCUCUUCUGCUGUCUCCUCUGAUUCAGACUGGCCGUUGGUCCCCCACACCUCCUCUGCUGUCUCCUCUGAUUCAGACUGGUCGGUGGUCCCCCACACCUCCUCUGCUGUCUCCUCUGAUUCAGACUGGCCGGUGGUCCCUCAGACCUCCUCUGCUGUCUCCUCUGAUUCAGACUGGUCGGUGGUCCCCCACACCUCCUCUGCUGUCUCCUCUGAUUCAGACUGGCCGGUGGUCCCUCAGACCUCCUCUGCUGUCUCCUCUGAUUCAGACUGGUCGGUGGUCCCCCACACCUCCUCUGCUGUCUCCUCUGAUUCAGACAGGACGGUGGUUCCCCACACCUCCUCUGCUGUCUCCUCUGAUUCAGACUGGUCGGUGGUCCCCCACACCUCCUCUGCUGUCUCCUCUGUUUCAGACAGGACGGUGGUUCCCCACACCUCCUCUGCUGUCUCCUCUGUUUCAGACAGGCCGGUGCUCCCCCAAAUCAAAUCAAAUCAAAUCAAAUUUAUUUAUAUAGCCCUUCGUACAUCAGCUGAUAUCUCAAAGUGCUGUACAGAAACCCAGCCUAAAACCCCAAACAGCAAGCAAUGCAGGUGUAGAAGCACGGUGGCUAGGAAAAACUCCCUAGAAAGGCCAAUACCUAGGAAGAAACCUAGAGAGGAACCAGGCUAUGUGGGGUGGCCAGUCCUCUUCUGGCUGUGCCGGGUGGAGAUUAUAACAGAACAUGGCCAAGAUGUUCAAUGUUCAUAA